CGUAGCUCAGUAGGAUAGAGCGACCGCCUCCUAAGCGGUAGGCCGGAGGUUCGAAUCCUCUCG
rnacentral:tRNA from 1 species